ensembl:lncRNA LINC01651 long intergenic non-protein coding RNA 1651
ACACUUUGAGCCUGCCAAAGUGCCUUUUUUUGUGCCUUUCACAUAAAGACUAUGACACAGCUAAGCUAUUCAUGUACUAAUAAAUACCUGCCCUGAGCUGUGUGACCACGGACACCACCCUAUAAUGUGGCCAGUGUGUAGGAACUCUGCAGGCUCAGAUCAUUCCAGACAUACAUGCAGAUGUUGGAACUCCCUUGCACAGUGACUCAUGAUCCCAAGGCUGAGUGCUGAGGGCAGGAUUAACCUCAGCGAUUGUUGCUGGCAUCAGUGCAGCCCUGGGACCAGAGCACACCUGGGGUCCGGCGGAACUCUACCCUAGGGCCCUUCAUCUUCCGAGGCUAUGACUCAGCACCUCCAGGCCCUUGGACCCUGGAGAAUGACAGCCACACAGAUGCAUGUGGUCCACAGUAACACAAAGUACCAGAGCAUGGAGGAGGCACCACGCCACGGUGAUGGGCUCGAGUGCAGGCCCUGCUGCUGGAGUUGCUGCUGGCGGUGAAGGCAGGGCUGUGAUUCUAUGUAUGUUUCCAAAAAAGGGGUUCAUGGGGAUCCUGGAAGUGGACAGG